GAUGCUGGCAAUCUGGAUAUGCCAAAGAGAAGCCAUAAAAUGCUUCCUUUAAGUCAAAAUGUGAAAGUUUUGCACUGAUUAAGAAGAGAAAAAACAUCAUAUGCUGAGGAUGCUAAGUUCUAAGGCUGUAUGGGAAGCAUGGCUGGGGAGGCCUCAUGAAACUUAUAAUCAUGGUGCAAGGUGAAGAGGAAGGAGACAUGCUUUACAAGGCCACAGCAGGAGGAAGACAGUGAAGGGGGCGGUGCUACAUACUACAAACAACCAGAUCUUGCCUUGGGGAUUGAAUGGAACUUCACCACUGACUUUCCUGGGCCUCCAGCUUGUAGAUACCAGAUUGUGGAACUUCUCAGCCUUCAUAAUAGUGAGCCAGUUUCUCACAAUCAGUCUUUUUCUGUGUAUGUAUAUAUAUCCCAUUGUCCUGGUUUCUCUGGAGAAUUCCAAUCUAUACAAGUGUCACAGUCAUAUAGAAACAUAGCUUACUUUCUAAAUAUAUGUACCUUAAUAUUUAAAGAUAAAAUGUCAUGAUAAAUGUAAUUAAAACAU